rnacentral:rRNA from 1 species
AGUGAACGCUGGCGGUAGGCCUAACACAUGCAAGUCGAACGGCAGCACAGUAAGAGCUUGCUCUUACGGGUGGCGAGUGGCGGACGGGUGAGGAAUACAUCGGAAUCUACUUUUUCGUGGGGGAUAACGUAGGGAAACUUACGCUAAUACCGCAUACGACCUACGGGUGAAAGCAGGGGAUCUUCGGACCUUGCGCGAUUGAAUGAGCCGAUGUCGGAUUAGCUAGUUGGCGGGGUAAAGGCCCACCAAGGCGAGGAUCCGUAGCUGGUCUGAGAGGAUGAUCAGCCACACUGGAACUGAGACACGGUCCAGACUCCUACGGGAGGCAGCAGUGGGGAAUAUUGGACAAUGGGCGCAAGCCUGAUCCAGCCAUACCGCGUGGGUGAAGAAGGCCUUCGGGUUGUAAAGCCCUUUUGUUGGGAAAGAAAAGCAGCAGGUUAAUACCCCGCUGUUCUGACGGUACCCAAAGAAUAAGCACCGGCUAACUUCGUG